rnacentral:lncRNA from 1 species
AGAUGUUCCCUCUGAUUGUGGUUUUUCUCAUUAUUCAACAAACUAUUUCUUCUUGCACCCCCAUAUCUUCUUCUGCCACCUCCAUACACAACAUGAAAAUACAUUUUUAUCCUUCUUGUGUCACCCCAUAGAGUAGUUUCAUGAAAAUAAGACUUCCGGAUUAUAUAAUCCAGAAAGUAAUCAUGCAUAUGAAAAAAAGCUAUGUAAUUCAGAAGCUAAUUACAAUUUUGAAAAAUAACUUCCGAAUUACGUAAUCUAAAAUAUUAUAGAGGGGUAUUUUUGGAAAUUCGAAAAUAUAUGGAGGUGAGAGAAGAAGGUAUGGAGUUGCAGGAAGAAAGAGUCUCUUCAACAUAAUACAGGUGCCUCGUUCAACCUCUCGAGUUGUGUCUUUUUUUGUUCUGGAGUGAACAUUUUUUUAUAUCAAUUUUUUUCCUCUGCAAUUUCUUAUUAAACCCUAAAACCACUAUGCUAAAUUCCAAACUAGCUAGAGUCGGAGCUUCGAUCGCUAAACACCUCUUUACAAGUACUUCUCCUUGUUAAUUUUCUCUUCUCUACCUCCCACAGUUCAUAGCAUGAAGAGAACAUCUAAUUAAACUGAACCUAUUCUAAUUUUGUGUUUGUCUUUUUAUUUGCCAGGGAACUGCACAUCCUUGUGUGGAGUAAGAUAUGUUCGAACGGGAAGAUGUCAUCCCCUGCAAUCUCAGGUUAGUAAUUCAAUACCCUAAAUUUGGAUUUUCAUUUUUCUAUUUUAAGCAUUCGAUUUCUGUAAAGUUUGGCACUAUGGUGCUGGUUUUAGGAUCUCAACAUAUAGCAACAAAUAAGUGUGCUUGAUGGAUGCUUAUCAUGGGAGACACCAACCUGGUUUUUAUAUCUGUUUAAUGAAAAAAUUGGAUAAACUAUAUUUUUUUUGCGAUUGACUUAUGAUAAGUGGGUGUUCGUGUUUUGAAAUGUGAAGCCAUAUUUGCUUUGAUGACAUUAAGUCAAAAUAACUAUUGAACUAGUCUGGAUGUCUUUGUGUCAAUUAUGAAGCUUGGUGAUAUUGAAUGAGUUGGGGGAAUAUGAUAAUGGCAUUAACCUUUUCCAUCAGUGCAAGGGACUUUCCUUCCACCCUUUAGCUAAAGGAGCCAACAAGUUUGCGGUUAGCAGAGGAUUGGAAAAAUUGGACCCUUGUAUUUGCAAUGUUUUGCUCUAUUUCUGAUACUGGUUAUUCUUAAGAUGAAUAUAAUUUAACAUUGCACUCUGUUUUUUGCAUUAGUUUAUUUAUUUCAUUUUUUUAAUACUAGAAGGGAAUUGGUUGUCUUUGAAUUCUGGGAACAAAAGUAGCAUUUUGUAUUCGUAGUAACCCAGAAAUCUGGAAGUCCUCUAUCAAUUUAAUUACUUGGAUUGGAGUGAAGACUGAUUAUAUUACUGAGGGUUUAUAAUUCUUGACAUUUUAAAUAUUCCCUUUGUCAAACAAAAAGGAUAAUUUGACACCCUUCCAAACAAAAAAAUACCCAUUUGAAAACCCAUUUUAAUAAUAUAAUAAUACAUAUUAGUGAGUUAAAAAAAUAAAAAGAAAUAUGAUUAAAAUAUUGAUAUAUAUAUAUAUAUAUAUAUAUUGAGUUGUCCAGUAAUUGUUUUUUUCUUUGUAGAUGUCAAAAUAUCACAUACCUUUGCCUGAUUGACAACCAUUUUUUCAAAUGGUUGUGCGAUCAAAUUUUUUAGAAAUUGUGUGUACGUUUGCAUCAGGAUUACAGGAGAAAUUGUUUUAUUAAAUUUUUAUAUGGCAUUGUUUUAUGCUUAUCUGUUUUUAUGAGUAAUUAUUUUUUGUGUGUUUUUUUUAAUUAAUUUCAGCGGCAUUCAUUUACUAAGUUAUACAAGGGAGCCAUGAUGGAAAGACAUAAAUUCCUUUCAACAAUGACUACUAACAACACUAUUGAGGAGGGGAGUGAACAAAAAGAAACGUGAGUUCUUUUUAUUUGAGAUGAAAGAUUUAUGAGAGUAUGUGAUCCUUUUGUAUAUGUGUAAAUACCAUGUUAAUAUAGCAUUCAAAAACUUGCUUUGUGUUUGUGUUAUAAUUGUACUUUUGACGCAUGUUUUUUUUUUUGUGAUUAAGAGACACUCAAUAAACAAAACAUUGAAUUGAAUAAAAACCCCAUGCAAAAUUGGUAAUUUUUUUAGUGUUGAUGCUAUAUUUUGACACACAGCAUCGGUACACUAUGCAGACUAAUUGUUAACUGCCAGUUUCUUGUUUCUAGCUAAUCAUAUCAUGAUUUAGUCAUUUAACAAGGACCCUCCUAAGUGUUAUAAAUUGACCGUUUCUCUAAUUGUCUGAUUUGUAGCUAGAUAAGUGGUUGUUGAGAUGAGAGUACGAUAUAAGGUUAGCGGCUGUGUAACUGCUUUAUCAUAUAUGCAAUAUUUUGAUCCCUCAAAAUAAAAGACUUAAGAACUGACAUUUGAGUGAGCUUGAUGGGAGUUUAAUAUAUUUUUCUUCAAAUGAUUAAACUUUUCCAGGCAUCUGAGUGAGAACUUCAAAGUGCAGAGAAUGUUAAUAUCACAUAAAUAUCGAGGCUUGGCACUCUGUUCUACCGUUUACAUGUUUGUUGUGUAACCAACCAUGAUUUCAUAUUGUUUACCAUGGGGGGUAUGGUAUGAUAUCUGAGCAGGAGUUAGGUUACUGUGUGAUUCUGAUACUUUAACCAAAAUGGCAACAAUAACAAAAUCUGUAAGCCUCAGUUGUUAUAGUUGGUCACGUUCCCUGAAAAAUUUCAAGUCUAUUCAGAUGGAAAUAAUCCUCCUACGUGUCAAAUGCUUCCCUACACCAUUAGUGUUCAGUCAGUGUUAACUUCCGUUAGGACAGAUUACAUCAUUACUGUCGUACCUUGCCAUAUACUUUAUUAGAUGACAAUAGUUCAUGAUUUGAGUAUAUUAAAAUCUUGCACAGUUGUCAUUUUGCACCUUACUCUUUGAGGCAACAUUGUGCAGGAUAUCUGUAACUUUUAUUGAUAAGGAUGGUGAGGAAAACCAUAUCAAAGUCCCUGUUGGAAUGUCAAUGUUAGAAGCUGCUCAUGAAAAUGACAUUGAACUAGAAGGCAAGAGCUUUAAUUUUAGAAUUUUAUUAUUUUCCUCAAGAUUAAUCUUCUGAAUUCUGCUGUCAAGUAGGGCCAUUUCUGAAGUGGCCAUGCGUAUUCAUAAUUGAUUCAGGUUACUUUUCCUUUUGCUUGAGAUGAUUUCUUACUUGAUGUUACUGCAGGAGCAUGCGAGGCCUCACUUGCGUGUUCAACUUGCCAUGUUAUAGUCAUGGUACAUCAUGGGUGAUCUAUGCAGUGGAAAUGUUGCUUGAAGUUACUAUUAAUUUAUUUUUUGAAUUACAGUUUUCCAUGUUUUCCAUUUACAAGAGGGACAAAUUACUUAUUUUUGUGCAGGACGUAGAACAUUACAAUAAAUUGGAAGAUCCAACCGAUGAGGAAAAUGACAUGUUAGAUCUAGCUUUUGGGCUUAGUGAAACGUGGGUUAAUCAUUCAUGAACUUAGGAUUUGAAAUGUUCAUUUUCCGUUUUUACCACCCUCAAAUUCGACAUUGACCAAUUAUGGAAAAUAUGCAGAUCGCGUCUGGGUUGCCAAGUUAUUGCAAAACCCGAACUUGAUGGAAUUCGGUUAGCCAUUCCUGCUGCUACUCGGAACUUCGCUGUUGAUGGUUUUGUGCCGAAGCCACAUUAGUAAAUGACUUGGGUUCAAUGCAAAGAGGGCAGCUGUCUCAGUUUUGUAGCCUCACUGAUUUAGAUAAAUUACCAUUUAUUGAUCACAGGCAUUAUAAAUUAGUAUUUUCCGUGAUCACAGAGUACCUCUAUUUAUCAAUUACAGAGAGAACAUGGUGUAAUUUUCGACGGGCUACAUUUUGGAUGUCAAUAAAUUCUUUGUACAUUUUUUUACCUAUAACAAGUGACUGUGCGAGCACCUCCAAAAUAUAUGAAUUUAUAAUAGAUAUGGAGGAAAACAAGGAUAUGGAGUCUUCACUGACGAGUGUUGAUUCAAACCAAACCGAUUGUAGUUUUCUUGUUUUGGUUAAGUUGCAACCUGACACAACAAAAGCUUGGAUUGCAACUUUAAUUGUUGUUCGGUAUUCAUGUUUGACAUUUGUCUAUCACAGUCAGAUUUUAAUUUCAAGAUAUUUUCAACAUAAAACCAGAGUAAAAUUAACUGGGAGAUAUUAAUAUAAAUUGCCAUUCAUUUGUAGUUACUAACAGUUUAGUUGCUUGCAAUUGUAGAAAAGUUGAUAAUGGUGGCUUGUGUGCCCUGUCAUUUUCUGUUCUCUGAGAUCCUUGGGGGAAAAAUGCCUAAAAUAAGAAAUGUAGGAGUAAGGAAAUGUCUUCAAAAUAUAUUAUAAUUAGCAGGUUUGUUUUCACCUUUACUCUUCCGAUUUUUUAAAAUAAAAAAAAAACAUGAAAACUAAAUUAUUUUUGUAUAAUUGAGAGUUAAAAAAUUUGAAAGAUCAACUAAAAAUGGAAAAAGAAACGAAAAACAGUAAAAAUACGUGCAUAUAAUUGAAAAUGGUACAACAUGAUCUAUAUACAGCGACUGUACACAUCUAUAAAUUACCAAUAAAGUAUAGUUGGAUUGGACUCAACUUGUGGGGGUUAUUUAGAGAGGCAAAGAGGGGGUUUUGAAGCAACGAAGCAGUUUGAACUUUUUACUUGGUAUAUAAUAACUAGUUUCACAAACCAAAGUAAAGUAAUCAAACCCUUUCAAACACUGGACAUUGUAAUGGGUAAAAGUCAUCAUGCUUCACCUGGAAUGCCCGAGAAGAGCAUAAUGAAGUCAUGAUAGCAAACUGAGUAAAAAGUGAACUUGAAAAACUAUAACACCAUAUAUUAAUUGCGAAGUAAUCAAAAUUCAUACCUUGACCAUCUAAAUAUUCCUAAAAUUGAACUAACAUGUUGGAAAAUAAAUUAGCAGUAUAAACACUAAGCAUUGGUACAAAACGAUGUGGUGAAGAAUAACAGAUACUGAGUUGCACGUAGAAUAGAAAAUUUGGAUCGGUUAUGCGACAAAUAAACUGAAAAUAAAAGCAUAACAGGCAUUGAUAUUGUACGCGAAACGGCUAGUAACAAAUCACCGAAAUUAACAAGCCGUUGUGUAGGUUUGUAAUUGAAUCUGUGACUUUCAAACUCAUUCGAAGUUUAGUAUAAAGCAUAAUCCAUCACGGAACAUCUAAAAACGAAGGAAAAUUGAAACUGUUGCUUUACAUAAAUCUAUGAAAGCGAUCUGUAAUUUUAACCAAACAACUACCUGCAAUUCAAUUAUGUUUCAGUUGAGCUUCUUGAGGAUGUUAGAAGCCCACCGCUUGACUCGUCCCCUGAGCGAGUAACCGAAAACCAUUCCAGCAACAAAGCAAAUUGCACAAAGCUUUGAGCACGUCGAAUACGACACCGCGUGUCUGCAACGAACAAAACACACAAUAAUCAUCUCAAGUUAAGACAUCAAACCCUAAUCUGUAAGAACAUUGUUAAACAAUGAAAACGAGUGAUCUGAAAUAAGCUUAGAUAAGAAGCAAAGAGAAAGAGAGAAAUACCUUGGAGGUCUGGUAGCUAAAAGAAGGGAAGAAUCAAGAGGCGGCGGUGGUGGCGGUUGGAUACGGUCGAAGUUCGACGAGUUGAUAUCGCCGGAAACCUUACUGACAGCACCAGCCAUCGCUACAAAAUGCAGAAGGCGCUGAGACGACGAUGGUUGAACUAUGCCGCUUUAACAUUCCCCUUUUUCAUUGUGUAUUCAUUUCGGCACAUCUAAACGACGCCGUAAUAACCAUCCGGCUGAACCUACUAUUAUCUGUAUGUAUGUAAAUUGAAACUAAUAGUGGCUGAUUGGUUGUGUAACAAUACACAUCUAUUUUAUUAAAUUAUUACACGCACAUGUUUAUUACAUAAUAUUUAUGUUUAAUAUUAAAAUUUAAAUAAAUAAUAUUAUUAUUCGUAUACUUAUAUUAAUAUAAAUUUAUAAUUUAUUUUAAUUAAUUAAUAAAUAUUGUACCUACUCGUCUUUAAGUCAGAUAUGAUGUGGAAUGAAUAUGCGAAUUUCUAACUAAACCAUUAUUUUACAUAAAAGACAAUCAAGAAGAAAACGGCAUACUCAAUGAAUCUUAAAGGAGGAAUGACUAUUUAUAGAAUAAAUAGUGUUACAUGACUAGUCCAAAAGACUCGUAACUGUCCACUCAGCAUACCAGUUGAUCAACCUAUAAAUAUUCACUAAGUACAAAUUCAUUCUAUCUCAUACUCUUAACUCUCAUAUUAUUAAAGAACAUAUUAUCUUUGUGCAGCUCCUACGGACUUAAAGUAUCAGAGAGUCUUUUGCAGGUGGACAUUCCCCUCUCAAAGGAGACCAACCGAGUUCCCUGAGGAAUACACACCAUCUUCAUUGAGUUCCACUCUCCGAGUUCAUUUCUGGUAGGAACAAAUGAGAAUAUACAUAAACUAUGUAAAUGCACCUUAUGAUAUAUUGUGAUCGAAAUAUAGCCAACAUAAUAAUUAUAUAUGGUAACAAAUGUCAUGCAAAAUUAUAACAUAUUUUUAUAUACAUAUCUUCUAAAGAAGAAAACAAUAAUUUACAAAUUAUCUUUCCUACGAAAGAAUGUCAAUUAUGAAUAAAUUGCAAAAUACACACAUGGUUUGUGUAGACAAAUGUAUGAAUGUUUUGUGUUGAUGUCUUCAUUGAAUUGUAAGGACUUAAUAACAAAUAGUGUUUAUUAAAAUGAUGUCUAAUUAAGUAGAAUAUUAACAUAUAUGUUUAUGUGUCACACAUAAAUAAAACGGACAAUACCUGAUUUUGAUAUAACAAGUGUACUAACCAGGUUAAGCACAGAUCCUUCAAAGUUGUGUGGUGCAAAAGUAUAACUUGUGUUAAAUGAAUGAAUGAAUGAAUAAAACUAUAUAACAAAAAUUAUGUUGUGUUAUAUAAUAUUUUUGUUACCUGCAUCAUUUAUUGAGCGUGUCAAGUGUGGAAUAGAUGUCAAUCUCAUUUCUAGAACAAUAGUGUUGUUUCUCCUCUCUCUAUAAAUUCUUCUUCAUGUAGAUAGUUUAUUUUUCCUUUGUUCAAUGGUCAUUCUUCAUCUUCUAUUUGCAAUAUUUAGUCUCCCAAGUUUGUCUUUGUGGUUCUAGUGUUAUCUUUUGUCACUUAUAUUGUUAUGUAAUCUAUUAAAAUGUGGAAAAAUAAUAAACAUUAGAAAAAUUAUUUAAAAAUUAUAAAAUUAAAUAUUUAUACUUAUUUUUAAUUAGACAAAUUUAAAAUAACUAAAUAUUUACAUUUAUUUUUUAAAUAAGAUUAUAUUUUUUAAUACUAUUUUUUGAUAAUUGAAUUAUUAUCUUUUCCUCCUCCUAUCCCCCUCUAUUUUCAUGAUUUUCUUGUUUCCAUUUGAUCCAACCUCUCAUGGAGUCCAUCACUUUGUUGUUUCAUUAGUCUCUCCAAAUGUUGUGUUAAGGCUUGCAUUUGUACUUGUGAAAGUCCCUGCCACACUCUAGUAAACAGAUUAAAAAUAAUAAUUGUUUGGGUAAUAACAAUCAGAUUCCCCAAUAUCAUGCUAAGAAUAUCUAGGAUUUUAAGAAGAAGAUGUCAUUCAUUUGAUGAGAAAUAAAAAGGGAUAUAUCAAAAGCAGCUACUUUCGAAGUAACAAAAAGAAAAGCAACGACUGGAGUGGGAGAGUCAGAGUCGAAAAGAGGAUUCCUCACUUCUUUCUCUCAUUCAAAAUUGUGCAUGAGACUUUCGUCUCGCACGACUCCUAAGUGAUAAAAGAAAGAGGAUGAGUUCUUCUUUCUUUUUUUAUUACUUUCCUCGUGUAUGUAUAAGACCAAAUCCUUUUUAUUUUGAAUUUUCAAAAGGAUUACUAAUAAGUUUAAGCAUCACACAAUUUUCUCACGUGUUUACACUCAAUACUCGUGUUUCACACAUAAAUCAAUAAUUAAGAAUCACUUUCAAUGGUAGCAAUCAAAAGCUUAAAAGUAAAAAUAUUUUAACAUCAAUGAAAGAAAAAUAAUGAAAAACAAUUUCACUACCAACAAAAGAGCAAGACAAUUACAAUAUAUAGAAAGAAAAAAUGUAGACAAACACUUGAAACUUAGGACUUUUAUCAAACAGGAAGUAUACAUUAAUAUUUCUUUUCCUCUCUUCUUUCUUUCUAUUCUCCUCUUCUUCUUUCUUUCUAUUUUCUUCUAAAGAGAGGAAAAAAAUAGCAAUUAUCCAGUGUAUACUUCCUUGUUUGAUAAAACUAAGUUUCUACAUACAUAUUUUUUUUCUCUCUAUAUAUUGUAAUUGUUUUGCUCUUUUGUUGGUAGUGAAAUUGUUCCACUAUUUUUCUUUCAUUCAUGUUAAACUAUUAAAAUUUUAUUAGCUUGUGAUUGCUACCAUUGAAAGUGAUUCUUGAUUGUUUAAUUCUUGUAAGAACCUUAAGCUAGAGAAUGAAUGGUAAAAGGUAGUGUGAUCAUUAAAAAAAAGUCGAGUGUUGAGUGUAAACUGCGAGAAAGUGGUGUGAGACCUAAACUUAUUGUUAUUUUUAAUUUGUUUACUUGAGCAUGGCAGGAGAAACGCCAAAUAAUGGACUUUCACAAAUACAAAUGCAAGCCUUAACACAACAUUUGGAGAGACUAAUGAAACAACAAAGUGAUGUCCAUGAGAGGUUGAUCAAAUGGAGCAGGCAUAACAAGAAAAUCAUGAAAAUAGAGGGAGAUAUAGGAGGAGGAGAAGAGAGAAUAAGGGAUAACAAAGACAACGGAGAUUUGAUGAGAUAAGAUUAAAUAUUCCCACAUUUAAAGGGAAGAGUCAUCUUGAAGCUUACUUGGAGGGGAGAUUAAAGUAGAACAUGUGUUUGCUUGCAAUGAGUAUAAUGAGGAGCAAAAAGUGAAUGUUUUGACAAUUUAAUAGAGAGAAUAUAUCUCUGCUAGGGUUCUUCCUUGCAUCCUGUGAUCUUAUCAAAAAUUCACCAAUUAUUAUGGCAAUCAUCCUUAGAUUUUCAAACUUUGUUUGUGACGCCUCUCUCUAUCUAAAUUUUCAUUGUUACGGUUUUUAAUUGAUUCCAUUCCAUAACCCUAAAUUCUCAAUUCUACUUCUAUUUUGGAAUCAUAUCAUUUGUACAUAUGUAAUAAAAUAAACAUAAAAGGAUAUUUAUAUACUAACUUCAACGUAAGAUACUAAAAUUUAAAUAACAUUAAAAAUAAGAGAUUUAAUAUUAAAUUAUUACACAUUUAGAUUUAGAAGUGUUUAAUUUUAUAAAAAUUACUUUAAAAAUCAUAUUGAAAAUGUAAAAUUAUUAAUAAAAUCAGUUUGAUUUGGAAAAAAUUCAAAUCAAAUAUAAAAAGUGAUUAUUCAAAUUAAAUAAUAUCUUAUCAUUUUGUUUGUGUUGAUAUUUUAUUACUUAAAUUUUUUAUUUUUUAUGUAAUCUAUUAAAAUAUGGAAAAAUAAUAAAUAUUAAAAAAAUUAUUUAAAAAGUUAUAAAAAUUAAAUAUUUAUAUUUAUUUUUAAUUAAACAGUUUUAAAAUAAUUUAUAAUUUAUAUUUUUUAAAUUAAUAAUUUGUGUUCUUUUUUUUUUAUCAGUUUUGACUGGUUUCACUGGUUUGAUGAUAAUUUCACACAUCAGAAAUUUUGUAGCAAAAUUGAAUCAAACAAAAAAUGGUUUUUAGUUUCCAUAGAUCAAACACACCAGUCCUAUAUGCCAACCACAAUUAAGCGCCUUCUUACCAUAAAUGACUUUGGAGAGUUUAAAGGUGGAUAAAAGAUGAUUUCACUGUGGGUUGAAGGUUGAUCGAUACUAAGAAAAGUGGAGGUUCACCUACAAAUACUCUUGAAGACUGAAGUCAAUAAAAAUGUUUGAGUAUAAUAUUAUAAAAAUAAAUUAUGAGUUAAAGUUGUAUGUUUACUUUAGGAGAAAUGCUUGUAUUUAUAAGCCUUUUGGAGAGUGAUAGUUAGUGAAACUUUUAGAGUUAUUAUGAUUAUUAAUUAACAGUUUGAUUAUGUGAAGAGUUUUCCUUACUCAAUUACAUAUUAAUUCCAACAUAAAGAAUUAUAGCAUUAAAAAAACAUCAUAAAUUACAGGUGUCUACCGUGGAAGAUCCUGUGACGGUUAAGGUUAAAAUUGAAAAGUACAGAGGUUGGGGUCAGAAUUUGUCCACGCAACAAAGCCAAUCUUCUAUCAUCACCAUUCACCAGCCAUUAACGCUUUUCCUUAUCUCUCUCUUCUCUCUCUAUCCUAAGGCCAAACGCAACAUCUUCACUCACCAUUUCCUUCUUCACCCUGCUCCUCACCAAUGGCUUCCCUCACUCUCCCUAACCACUAUCUUCCCACCUUGCUUCGCUCUCACUCCCCCAACUACCCAUCUUCCCAAAAUCUCUCACUCUCUUCCACGCCAUCAAAUUCUCAAUUUUUCGGUCUCAAGUUGUCUCAUUCUCCCUCUUCCUCAAUCCCCUCUUAUUCUUUCCUCAGAACCUCCAUUUUCGCCAAGGUACAUUUCACUCUUCAUCAGCUUUUUGCAUGUUGGUAACUUAACUUAAUAGUUGUUUUGUGUUGUAUGUUCCUUGAUAGGUGAGUAAAGGUUCAAGCCCACCGAAUUUCACACUGAAAGAUCAGAAUGGGAAGAAUGUGACCCUCUCCAGCUUCAAGGGAAAGCCAGUAGUUGUGUAUUUCUACCCUGCUGAUGAGACUCCUGGCUGUACCAAACAGGUAAAUACACACAAUGUCUUCUAGGAAUAAUUCAAAGUGGAGAUGCCAAGUUUUUAAAGAUUUUUGGUGAUUAGUGUAGUAAAAUUUAUCGAACUAGUGCAUAUUUCAUUUGGAUAUUACUGAAAUCAGCAUAUUUUUUUUUAAAAUUACAUCAAUGAUUCACCAGAACAACUUUGUUUAAAGAAGUCUUGUUUUAUAAAUUUGAUUCCAAGGUUAGGUAUGACUCUUGAAAUCAUGAAUGUUGACAACAACUUUACUGUAUAUGAAGAACUGGUAUGACAACUUUGAUUAUUGGUAAUUUAGAGUUGAAUCUUUUUAUAUAUAUAUAAAAUGAAAUCAUCAGGGUAUAACAGGGUUUGAGUGUAAUUAGAAUUGAAGUAGAAGAAGUAGUGCAUCCGAAACAACGAUUUAUGUAAUUGUAGGCUGAGCGCCGAUCAAUUAAUAUAUGCUAAUAUUUUUUGCACUACUACACUAUUGCAUUAAUGUAUAUAACUAAAUUUUUAUAACUUUAUUACCGUUGUAAAAAUGAUAAGUAAAUUAUUAUAACUGUUGGUUGUGUUUCUGCUGUGGCCUUUCGAAGUAUUGUUCAAGAAGAAUCUCGAUAGAACUCUGGUGUUGUAUAUGCAUGAUACAAAUGGAGGGUAAUAAAAGUUAGAGAAUACUUCACACCCUGUUAGGUUUAUCUGUACUAUUCUUGAUUUGGUUAUCUCUGUAUCCCUAUUGUGGUUCAUCUUUUGCUAGAAGGUUCUUGAUGUAUAUAGUUAUUGGGUUUUAGUCACAGCACAUUAGCUUAAGCAGUCAGAUUGGGUCCAAAACCUCUAAGGGGAGUCCUGAGCAGGUUGUCUAUGGAGCAUGAAGGAUUAUGGUAUAAUUCCAACAGGGUAAAGGCCUGCAAUUGGAUUAUACUGUCCUGGUGGUGGUACAAUGUAUGCAAGAACAUACAAUCAAAUCUAAAGUUGUAUAGCAAUUAUAAAAUGUCUCAUAAAAAUGACCAACAAUUUCUUCUGACAUAGUCUUAUAAUACGNNNNNNNNNNNNNNNNNNNNNNNNNNNNNNNNNNNNNNNNNNNNNNNNNNNNNNNNNNNNNNNNNNNNNNNNNNNNNNNNNNNNNNNNNNNNNNNNNNNNNNNNNNNNNNNNNNNNNNNNNNNNNNNNNNNNNNNNNNNNNNNNNNNNNNNNNNNNNNNNNNNNNNNNNNNNNNNNNNNNNNNNNNNNNNNNNNNNNNNNNNNNNNNNNNNNNNNNNNNNNNNNNNNNNNNNNNNNNNNNNNNNNNNNNNNNNNNNNNNNNNNNNNNNNNNNNNNNNNNNNNNNNNNNNNNNNNNNNNNNNNNNNNNNNNGGAAGAGAGACUUAUGUGAUUGACAAAAAAGGGGUGGUCCAGCUUGUCUACAACAAUCAAUUCCAACCAGAAAAGCAUAUUGAUGAGACCCUGAAAAUACUUCAGAGCCUUUGAGCCUUUUCAUUCUUUUGUUUUCUAUUCCCGCGGGCCUCAUUCAGUGAAUUUUAAGUUUGUAAGCACUGUAAUUAUGUAGCUGACUUUGGAGCCUUUGACACAUUCCUUGGAGGUCAUGACAUGUAGAGACAAAAAAUUUAUAACCUCUCCGGAUGGAAAUAAUGCCUCCUUCAUUUGCCAAAAAUACAGUGAGAUUAUUAUAUAUGUAUCUUUUGCACAUGGUGAUGUUAUGUUUAGCUUCAAUUGACAAAGUGACCAUCCACUAUAAUUUCUAUAUGAUUUGAAUUUGCUAUUUGAAACAAGGUUCCCUUCAGCAAUACAUAUGAUUUAUUUGAUCAAAGUUGUUGUAACAUUGAAGGAGUUUUGACUACAUCCAUGGAACAUGACUCUCAACUAUCUAAACGACAUUUGGCUCUCAACUUACCCUUAAAUUUUUCGCCCUCGGUUUUAAGGUACCACCAAACUUAAAACCAGUGCAGCAAUUAUUUUUAUUAUUAUUACUAUUAUUAUUAUACUAGUAUUUAUGCAGUCACUGAGAGAGUGGUAGUAAGCUUAUAUAUUCAAUCUUCCUUGGCAUAGUCUUCAAUGCUAUAGGGGCCAAAUACUUCGGAUAACCAGUUCUUUUUCCUCCAGGAACUCCACCCUAAAUCUUUACAAAUUUCAUCACUAUGGUUGAUGCUAUAAGUUGAAAUGCAGUGCCUCUUAUAGAACCUAGUUGACCUUUUCAUCACUUCUAUCUCCUUGGCUGUUUGUGAAAGCAUGCUCUCCACACUUGGGAGCUUGAAUUUGUCAUCUACCAGCCCAGAAAGCCACAUGGAACGUAUCUCUGACGAGUGAAGAUUUGAAACACUCUCAACGAAACCCACAAAAGCCAUGUUUGGAAUCAAUGGAUGGAUAGUUCCCCUAUCAUGAUCAGCAUGAAUCAUCUGUUAGUUCUCACAUACGAAUAUUUAACAUAAUUUUGAACACAACCAAUUAUCAGGUAAAAUUUAUUAAAAAUUACAAAAUCACAAUUGUAAUUAUAAAAACGAAAUACAUUCUUCUGAUGUAGUUUUGUAUGGAAGCAAGCACAAUGAAUUGAAGCGUCCUUCUUACCUAUAUAAAGGCAUAAUACCAGAAGAGUACUCCAACAAGCUACAAAAAGGCUCUGGUAAAAUAGUUUUGAGUUUUUUCUUUCCAUCAAAACCAGUUGCAAGAAUCACUACAUCAGCAUUCAGCUUAGUGUUGUCUUCAAAUUCAAUUCCUCCAUUCCAGAAGCACCACUUUGAUGCCUUCUUAAAGACAAUUUUUCCUUUUUCAGCCUCGGAGAAGAAAUUUUCUGGCAUGAUGGCCAUUUGACAAGAUGCAUAAUCCUCCACAAAUGGGUGUUCUGGUUUUAAUCCAUACUUCUCCAGUGGAAGUUUCCAUAGAAGGUAGGACUCAAUAAACUUUGAAAUUCCACGCCUCUAUAACAUAGCAAAAAAGCAUUAGCUAUGCUUGUAACAACCAUAAUUAACAUAUAUGUGAUUCAGGAUAGUGAAAAACUUUAAUGUAAUUUACCAGUGGAGAUAACAUGAGGCAAAAAAGAGUCCUGAGUAAGCCUUGAUCGGGUCUCUCGUGGAUAAACUGAGAAGAUCUUGUUGAGAAGAACAUGAAAAAGGGCAAUCCCCAAAUCCAGUAAUGGGGAACUGUCCAAUGCAAAGUCCUUACAACCAUGGUGCAAGCUUGUCCUUCAGCUCCUUCAGAACAAUACACCGUCAACUUUGUUAUGCAUGUUGAAAUUUAAGAAACAAAAAAAGAGAAGUAAAACAAGACAUGUAAUUAAUUAGCUAUCUAUAUCUUUUAAUCUUCAUUACUUGGGCCAUGCAGGUUACUCACAACUCUUAAUUGACAAAUAAUGGAGAUUAUCUUAAUUAAUAAUAACUAAUAUAAUGAUAUGUUAUUAUAAGCAAAAAGAACAUAAAAAAUUAAAUUAGUAAAUUCCACACAAGUAAAUGAUGUGUUAUUGUAAUUAUGUUUGCCUGUUACUCUGUAACAGGAUGAAAAACAUUGAGACAGCCAAAUUCAAAUCAAAAUAUUUGAAAAAAAGAAAUUUCUUUGAUUUUUCUAAACAAUAAUUAACACUUAUCCCUCUCUGUCUAUAGCAUGGUAAGAUCUACAUGUCAAAUAGCUUGAAGGUGUUUGUCAAUGAUUUUUCAUUAUUUAUCGAAGUUGGUGGAUGCCAUGAGGUGUUGAAAUUUUAAUGGACUUUUCUUAUGAUGAUAUAAGACUCCCACACGUUGCUUUCAUGUCUGUGGGUGAAGAUGAAGGUUGGAACCCGUCGUUUAAAGCCAUUUCCAAACAUUUGUGAAAGUCAAAACUGAUUUGUGGAAUUCUAUUUUAUAUGACUCAUGACCUAUGAAUUCGUUUCAUAUAAAGCUUCACAUGAAAUAUUAUAUUAAAUAAAAUGAAAAGAACAGUAUGCAAGUCAAAACAUAUUUGUUUCAUACAUAAAACAAAAAGAACAGUAGUGUGCAAUCAAAAACAUGCAAGUAGCAACUUGGAAAAUAAAGCCCCUACUUGCUUUAGCAUUCAAGAAAAGCAAUAAUAUAAAUUAUAUACAACCAAAAAAUCAUUUGGAAAAUUAGUGUUGUCUCCGUUGGUGCUUUAUAAGCAGUAGAACUGAAAAUGACAUCGUGACAGAAAAUAAAGCAGAAAGGAAAGCAAAAAGUAAUAGUGCCAACAUGAAAAUGAGGUUCAAGAAAAAAACAAUGUCGUUAUUUUCCACAGCACAGGCGACAGAUGAUAAAUAAUAGGCAACAUGUUCAGUCUGGAGCAUUGAACGCCACCUUUGUCAUAACCAAACUGUAAAAAAGGUUUGAAGAAUAGCAGAAGAAAUUUGAAAGAAAAUCGAGGCACACGCAUGCAUCAAAAUAAUUGCCAGCUUUCACAUUGAUUAGUCAACAGUUCAUUUUCUUUUCUUUUUAAAGGAACCAUAAUACGUUACCAAAUACCAUAAUAUUUUUUGGUAUUGACAUUUUCAUUACAUGUAUUUCUUAACCACUAAUAAUAAUUUGAGGGGAACAAAGAUUUAAACAAUAAAUAACUCAUAACAUGCUGAUAAAAAAAAACUCGUAAAACAUAGUAAUUUUCAGUUUUACUUCACAAAAAUAUUUCACAUGCAUCCAACAGAUGUUAUUUGUGCAUCUUCUACCAAACGUUUAAACAGCAUUUUUUGUUUUCAAAAUGAAAAAAACCAACUAUUUGGAUUAAUUUUAUUCUGACUGAGUUACUCUAUAGCUAAAGCGAUAAAUUAUAAAAGAACAGAUAAUGUUUCUGACGGUUAGAAUAUGAUAUUUAACAACAAUAAGUUACCAACUAGUAUGAUUUGUUGUUUAUAAAACUCAUAAAUUAUAUAUAGCCCUUAUUAUUGCAAAUAUAACUGUAAUUAGAUUAUUUAUUUAGGCUUAAAAGUCACAUAUUUUUACAUAUUGAUGCAGUGUUAAUUCACUGGAGAAAGUUUCUUCAUAAAUAUCUUUAAAAAAAUAAACAAACUAUUUAACUUAUGUAAAAAUGUAAUUUUUACAUAAGUUAAAUAGUUUGUGUGCAUUAAAAAUUAUAUUUAAAAACUUAAUGUAAAGUUCUAGAGUUUAACUGAUACAUAAAUUAAUAACUAAUAAAAAAUUAAUUUUGUUUUUUAUUUUUAUUAAAUUACUUAAUGAAGUUUUUUUUCCAAAGGGAAUAUAUAUAUAUAUAUAUAUAUAUAUAUAUAUAUAUAUAUAUAGUAAAGAUGGGAUUAUUAUUACCUUGGUUUGCCUGUGCACACUCCAUGGCUAAAUCAAGAGCUGACUUUUUGAAACCAACCACUACCACCUUUUUCCCUUUGAGAAGUUCAGUAGCAGCUUCCUGGUCAAGUUUACAGUAAUCUAACGAAUGCAUCACCUUUCCCUUGAAUAUCUGUGGCCCUUUCUUCUGUGGAAACGAUGGAAUCUUGGGUGUGUCCCCAUAUUUCCCAAUGCACACCACCACAAACUCGAACCCAUACCACUAAUGGAUUAAGGAAACAAUUAUCAGCACAUGCUCAUAUCAUUUUCAUACAACUUGUGUCAAAUAUUUUUGUUAAUUAGUUUACAGUAAAAAGUUCUGCUACACAAGUUUGUAUCAUUCAUUUGAAGAUACUUAUUAUUAAUCAUAAAUGUUAAAACUGGCAGAUGGAAAUUAUUAAAUUUAGUAAAUUGGAUUAAGGAAAAAAAUACCUUUAUGUUGGUUAAUUGAACUGUUUAAGUAUAUUUAAAAUGGGAAUUUGUAAUUAACAAAUAUUUGAUAUGAUGCAUCUAGAUAAAAGGGUAAGGUAGCUAGUAAUUUUUCACAUUAUAUUCAUCUCAGCUCAUCACUGGUAUAAAAACAAAAGUCACUGAUAGGUCAGAAGCUUCAUGCAACAAAACACUCGAUUUUUCAAACUGGCAAAUUGUUUUAUUUAUUUUUUAAGUACUUUAAAUUCAAAAGUUACAAAAUGUAUAACGAUCGUGGAAUAAUAAAUAGUCCAAAACAAUAUUUCAUUAUCAUUUUAUAAAUUGAAAAUACUAGAUAAAAAUUAUUUUCAAAUGCAUUUUUAGAAAUCUAAAGAAACAAAAGUGUUCUUCCUUUCUUUGUGGGAUGACGUGAUGAGAAGAACUUUUGGCAACUUGUUUCUCAGUUUUGAAGAGUAAUUCGGAAGUAUGUGGAAGAAUAAUAACAUUAAAAAUCUAUACUCACAAAUUGUUUAAACCCUAGGUGUGUUUUUUUAUGUAAAGAUACGAAAAGAGUUUGAUUUUGAGAAGGUAAUAAUUUGUGAAGACCUGAAUGGUGUCUGAGUGAUUGGUCUGCACAGCAACUUCCCACACAGGCUUACCGGGAAGCAGGCUUGAAAAGCCAGUGACUUCCCGGUUGCCGGAGAAGCGGAUUUCCACCACCUUGGAGUUGAACCUGAUGUUCUUGAGAACAUCGAAGUGGUGAGCAUAAGAGUGCAGAUAACUGAGUAUCUCCAAAUGGGUGGGGAAAUCGGGAUUGUCCCUGUGAGGCCAAGGGAAAUCGGUGAAUUCAUAAUCACGACGAUGAGACUGAAGCUUGGUGGAGUUGUAGGAGCAAUGGCUCCAAACCCCACCAAUGGAAUCUGAGGCCUCAAAAACAAUAGGGUUGUGAUGGGAUAACUGUUUAGCAGCUGCUAUGCCACUUACCCCAGCCCCUAUGAUGCCUAUUUUUGAGACCAAAAUGGGAUGGUUUUGGUUAUCCAUGUAAUAUGAUUUGGUAUAACUGGGAUCCAUUUUCAACAAGGUGUUUAUGUGUGUAUCUAUUUGAUGAACUGAUUACUGCUAUCAAAAUGGUAGCCUUAGAAAUGUAUUUAUAGAUGUAUGCAGCUGCAUCACUCGUCACUGUGAUGUCACAGAGCGUAGACUUCUACAGUGAACAAAUCAGAAAUACAAAAAUACAUAAUAUAAUGCAUGCAGACCCAGCUUUGUUUUACAUCUUGAAAAACACAUAAAAAAUAUAAAUGUAUUAAUAAGAGAUAUUUAGCACUUUUAAUAAUAUUACCAAGUUUUAUAAUGUGUGGUUUAUAUGUAAGUGUCUUACUAGUUAUUAUUUCUAGGAAAUUCUUCCGUGGAUAUAACUUAAUAUCUCCUUUUUAUACAUAUUUAAUAGGAAUUUUAUAAAUAAUAAAAUAAAAUCAUCAUUUAUUAUAUUUGUUUCGAUUCUUUUUAAUUUGGAAAUGAAAUAAUUAGAUUUUUAUAGUAAGAAUUUGAUCGGAAAAGUAUUUGAUGAAUUAUGCAGAGAAAAUGGAGUGAAUAUAUACAGCCAGUAGAUUCAUAUCUCUCUUUUUAUAACUAAACCUCUCUAUAGUACUCCAAUUAAUUUAUUUUAUUUUUCGUUAACCUUGAAUAUUAAUUAUAUACAUAUUUUUGUGUUUCUAAUAUUAAUGAGAUACUGUUUCGUGUAGCAUAAAUUAUAUAUAAAUAUUUAAUGAAUAUAGAAUGAAAAAAUCGAUACUCUCUUAAAUAACUUUAUUCAUGAUUUAUAAAUGUCUUUCUACAUUGGCAAGCCAUUCACAUUUUAAUAUGUAUUUGUGAGGGAAGUACAUUUUGUUGGACACCAAGUUUUUUUUUUUUUAUCAAUGAAUAAACAAAUAUGGAUAUUUUAAGAAUGAUUGAAUCCUUAUAAGUUAUGGAACUUCUAUCUAUGCAUGUGGCAUGAAUAUGUUUGGAAAAUUAAGAUAAUUACGAGGCCAUGACCUUUUCAAACAGAAACUAACGUGACUAUAUAUAUAUAUGAAUCCACGCCAAUAAGGGGUGAUGGUCAAAGUACUUAGAAAACAUUCAUGAAAACACUUUAUUUAUAGGAGGUAUAUACAUAGAAAGUGAACCCUAAGAGGGAUUAAAUAUGUAUAUCAUCGUAUAUUUCAUUUAGGCUUUUUUUAUGCUCCAACUCUAACUUGACAGAAGUAAUUUAUUUUAAGAAUGCUGAUAUGUUGAUAAUUCUACAACAAAUUUUUAAAUGUUAGAAUAUUAAGGAUUCAAGAAUAGUAGAUCAUACACAGAUAUGUCAGAAGAAUAGGAGUGUGAACAUAGCUUGCAUCAAUGACUAUGCAAAUUAUAAAAAAAAAAUAGUCCAAACACGUUGGAAUAAAGUUAGUAGGACCAACCAACCAACGUACAUAGCCAGUGAGAGAACACCUCGUGCACGUUUUACAUUUUAUAAACCUCACUCGAUGAACUUCUUUACAUUUUUUAAAACUAAAAAGACACGUAUUUCGUGUAAAUCUUAUUAUAAUUCUUGUUUGCGGUGAACUAAGUAUUACAGAAUAUUGGUUAUUCAGACUAAUUUGGCAAAUACGUUUAAGAAAAUGAUAAAAUGGUUGUUAUAAGUUGAAAAACAAUUGUUAAUUGAUUAAAGACGUGCAUGAGUAUAUAGUAAUAAUUGAAGUAAAAGAAAGAAUGGGUAUGAAGGGGCGUGGUUUUGUUUUGUGUUGACCAUGCAAAACUUUCAAGUCGAGUUCAAGUUUAGGGACUUCAUUCUCGCAACCAAUUGAUUUACAGCGGAUGAAGUCAACCACUAAACAAUUAUAUUAACACAGCCAUAAAUUUACAGGAAAAUAAAUUUGCAGCAUAUGAGAAAAAUGAAUGUGAUGACGAUGUUGGGUGUCACAUCUGGAAUGAAUAGAGAGAUAAAGAUAUAGAAAAGGUGGAAGGGAAGGUAUAUGGUAUGCAUGCAUCUCUCACAUUCAAGCAUUGCUAAGAGGUGGCUUGGGAUUUGGCAUUAUUUUUGGAAAACUCAUGCAUGGAGGCUGGGUGGGAAAGGGGUAGGAACCUUGGAAGGAAGUUUGGGAGGAACAUUGCACUUGGAAACACUUUAUGCAUGCAUGGAAAAUUGGAAACGGCUCUUGAUAUAUCAGAUUAUUCUCAUUUUUGCAUGCCACCUACAUUUCCUUCCUAAGUUCCUAACCUUAAUAAUGGAUCAUAUUCUGUUUUUUUUUUCUAAGUGUGAACGUUAUAAUAUUUUCAUUCUGACGACAAUGUCAAGGCUCUUAUAAGCAAUUGGACCGUAUUAUUUUUUGUUGACAAUUUUUUGAUUCAACGACAGCGUAAAAGUCUAUGAUAUCAGUUUCAAAAACACCAAGAGGCACAAGUAUGGCAAACUUACAUAUUUUAAGGUUUUUGAUAAGAAAUAAAUUACACGAUUUGGUAGUUUGUAUUAGUAGUUUAUAUAUUAUUAUAAUUGGGUAACGCUGUAGAUGUUGAUAGAAUAUUGUUCAGUCUUUGGAGGUUUCUUCCUGUGCUUUUCUACUUGCUUUUACAUCCGAAUCCCAACUAAAUCUCAAUCAGAUUAUUUAAUGGGGGUUAUUGCUUAAAAAAAUAUAGUAUAGUGAGUAUAAUAUACUGCUACGUAUUUUACUCUAAAAAAUACACACACAAAAAACUAUUUUGAUACGGUUUAUUGCUUAAAUGGUUGAGAAUUUGAAUUUAAUAAUAUAAUAGUGCGUAUACUUUAGUUAAUAAAAAUUGUGAAUAAUAUAUUAUUAUAAUUAGAUGUUUAAUAGUUGUUAUCUAAUAUACAUUACAGGAUUAUGUGUAAAAGAUAUAAAGUUCUAAGCUGUAACUCAUAUCUAGAAAGUUAUAAACUGGGUUGUACAUAUGGACUGAAUUUGUUUUUCUUAUCAGAAAAGGUAAAUAAAUGUAAAGUAUUUUAAAGAUUAUUACACCUAGUGCAUAAUAAAAAAAAACACUUUCUAUUGUGUUUGGAUUGAGGAGGGAAUUUGUGAGGAGGAGAGGAAGUGAAUUUGUGAGGAUUAGAGAGGAUAUGUGAAGAUAUCUAAGGUUGUUUGGAUUGAGAAAUUUGUGAGGAUGUUUUAUUGUAAGUUUACAAAUUUAUCUUUGUUAUUAAAAUUUUUUUGAAUAAUAAAUUAUGAUUCUUUUUGUGUGUAGGCUUGAAUUAAUUAAAAUUUUCUAAUAUAUAAUAUUCAUAAUUACUCCUAUUUUUAAUAAAAAAAAUUAAAAAAUAUAAUAGAAAAUAUUUUUGUGUUAAAUUGAAAUAAAACUAUUAAAUAUAUUAAAAUUUAUGAAAAUAAUAUUUAUUAUUAUAUUCAUUUAUUAUUUUAUAUAACUAUAUAUAUUUUGUUAAUAUUAUAAUUUUUAUUUUAUUUUAUUACUUUCAUUAUUUAUAAUUGUAUGUUGUUAUUAAUAGUAUAAUUAAAUAUUUUUGAAAUUAUAAAUAAAUUUAUGUAAUAUUUAAUUUUGUAUAUUGUAAUAAAAUGCAUGUACAAGAAUAUUUUGGUAAAAUACAACAAUCUCCACAAAUCUCUUCAUUUUGUGAAGAAUGAAAAAAACCCUCCACCCUCUUCCACAUCCACCCCUCACUCUCAAAACCAUGGAAAAAAACACAAAAAACACUCCCUCCCUCUUCACACUUGGAAGCAAACACACCCUACACGACAGAAAAACAAUAGACCCUACUACUGAAUUUGUAAUUAACUUUUCAAUGUAAUAACUUCUUCAUAUUUAUGUUUUUCAUCAUCAUAAGAAGAAUUAACAAAUACAAAGCAUACCUCAACUCUAUUACAAUAUCCCAAAAGAAACAACAUCGAGCAAAAUAGGAUGAAUCACCUUAUGUAAUAUUAAUUACCUACGUGUAAGUUUCUUCAACUUCCUUUGGUUCGUUCGAGUUACUCGAGAUAACUAAAUAUUAAAAUGAGUGAAAGACAUUAGUUUUAAUCAACCAAUGUUAUAAUAAUAUGAGAUAUAUUAAAAAAGGUAAUUGAAAUAUUAAGAAUAUAUGCUCUGAUAUGUGAAUUGUAAUAUUUUGACUUGUCUUAGACAAGAUCAUGGUUUGUUUUUUUUUUUUUUAAAGUUGUUAAAGUGCGUAAGGAAUCUAUUAAUUCGUUUUGUUAAAGAAGGGUGUUAUUGACAAGUGCAAUGUAAAUAUACAAAAACAUAUUUGAAUAGGAAAUUUGUGGAAGAACAAUUUUCACAACUUUGUGCAUCACAUUACUAGAAUUGUGUUUUGUUUGUCAAAUGCUCUGAAGUGGAAAUGUUGUGUUGUGUAUGCAGGGCCAAAGAAUAAAGAACGAUGUGUUAGGAGAGGAGAGUAGAUGUGGGUGAAAAGAUGGUUAACAACAGACGUCAAGAAAAAAAUGUUUUUCAUGAUGAAAUACAAAGGUAAAAAUUAUGUAAUGAUGCAGGUUGGGGCUUAUUAGUGGCUGGAGUGUGGGGAUUUUAGUAGGAAGAGUACAAUGUAAUUUGGUACUUGGUUAAUAGUAAUUCAAUUGGAAAAACAAAGUAAUAUAAUAAAUGGAAUGUGGUGUCUAUAUGAAAAAUGCAUAUUUUCAAGUUGUGUUACAGGAGUUACCUACUUCUAGAAAUAAUAAAAUGAUGGAAUUGGAUAUGUAGAAGUAGAUGAAAAUAUUAGGAUGAUCUGUAUAAGAGUUGGUCCCUAAAAUACCUCCUAUUAUAUUAUUUUUUUCUUACUAAUAAAAAAAUUUAUAAUAAUAUUUCAUUCCCUAUAAAAAAAAUCUAGAAUGUUUCUUAGUUAUGAGUGAAUAAGACAUAAUUUUUGCUACAUAUAUGGCAAAAUCACUAUAUUCAAACAAACUCGAAAAGAGCAGUGUAGGGAUAAAGAGGUCAUGGUGCUUUGCUGCAAAGAAGUCAUCAUAAUGUAGCCUUGAAAUCAUUUUUUUUUACCAGCAAGUAGCAAUGAAAUUAAAUGGGUCCACUUCAGGGGUGGUCCAACCCUUAUACAGAAAAUUAAAUUUUCAAAAAGUACCUUUCCAUCUACAUAUCAACCAAUAUGACAUCCUACUGUCUAGCACAACUCUAUCAAUUAAAGAGAAAAAUAAUAGAAAUGGUCAACCUUUAUAAACAUAUUAAAUCAACUACAUACAUACCAAGGGUUCUAGACACCAGUCAGAGAAUGAGAAUUUAGCUGACGAUAUCUUUGAUGAAAUCCAGGACCAAACCUUAAGUUGUGCCAGGGAGAAAACUUCAAUAUGAUCAACCACUCCACCUUUAAAUAAACAAUUAUUCCUAUGACUCCAAAUCUCACUAACCAACGUGAUCCACACGUUAGCCAUGAUAAGAUUAACUGAAGUAGACGCGUCCAAAAUCUUGAACUGUUCAAAAUGAGACCUAGGAUCCAUAAAGUCAACCGAGCUCACACCUAACCAGUCGUAACAAAGGUUCCAAAUUAGCCAAGCAACUCUGCAACCAAAGAACAAAUGAUUUGUUGACUCCUCUGACAUCCUUCACAAACAACACAAAUUUUUCUCGACCUCUAUAGCUCUUCUCUCUAGGUUUAUCCUGCAAGCAACCUUGUUUUCAAUCACUCUUCAAGUUGUGACGUGAGCUGAGGGAAGCGCCUUAAUACUCCAGAAGAACUUGUACCUUCUCGAGUCCUCCUCAUUUGCUUCUCCCCUUAGAAAACCAUAAGCAGACUUAACUGAAAACUCUGCUGACUCACUAUCCUUCCAAACCUAUCUAUCCACUGUUUCCAUCUCGGUCCUCUUGUUGGAAAUCAUCUCUAAGACUUGGCAUUCUUGCUCCUCCUCCCAAGCGAAAAAAAAACCCUUCUCCACCUUAAGUUCCACUCCUAGGUCCCGUUCACCCUUGUUCUACAAUCACAUAGAUUUGCCUCCUUAAGAACGGACAAAGAAAACAACCUUGGAAACUUGCUUUUCAAGUCUUCUUAGUCUACCCAAAUAUCUGACCAAAACAGAACAUCUUUCUUGUUUUCGACCACCCAAUUUAAACGAUCUUCAAACUUCCCUCCACAUUCCUUGAACCUCCAGACCUUCAUUAAAUCUCUCCACCACAGUGAGACCUUACCAUUAUUAGUUCGCUGCUCCUUUAGUCCUCUCCAUCCUCCAUACUUAGAUUCGAAGACCUCCCUCCACAACCCCCUUGUUUCUGUUUUCAGACGCCAACUCCAUUUUUCCAGCAAAGCCAAAUUAAAUUGUUUGACAUUAAUAAUGUCAGCCCUCCCGCUUCCCUGGAUUUACAAACCUUAUCCCAGGAAACCCAUGCAAUCUUCCUUCCUUCUGACCCCCAUCCCCAAAAAACUUCCUCUGCAGACUCACGAUCUUCUUCAAAACGAUAGACGGUAGUUUGAAUAGUGAAAUAUAGAACAUACUUAAUUAAGCAUAUCCUCUUUGGCAUCGAGAUACAUCUACCUUUCCACCUGUCUAGCCUUCUCUUUACUCUGUUUACCAUUUCAUCCCAGAAGUCACCUCUCUUAUGACACCCCCCUACUGGCAUCCCCAAAUGCUUAAAAGGAGUUCUCACCUCGCAAUUUUGAAUUGUCGCAGAGUCUAGAAUCUCCGUCUGAUCCACCCCAACCCCACCAAGUAUGCUCUUGAAGAAAUUCACCUUAAGACCAGAUGUCAACUCAAAUCAAUUCAACAUAACCUUUAUGUUAAAUACACUUUUGAUAUUUGCCUUACAAAAAAACAAAGUGUCAUUAGCAUACUGAAGCAUAUUUACCUUUACCAACUUAUUCCCAAUCUCUAGGCUCUCAACCAAGUCUUUCUCAAUCGUAGUCCUAGAUACCCCAAGUAGCCCUUCAACCGCUAUGAGAAACAAGAACGAAGCUAAAUGGUUGCCUUUGUUCAGCCCCUUCUUUGGAAUAAAUUCCCUAGUAGGACUCCCAUUUAUGAGAAUUGACAUCGAUGCAGAUUCCAAGCAAACUUUAAUCUAGGAAAUCCACUUUCCACAAAAACCGAGCAUGCCUAGCAUAUAAGAAAUAAAAUUCCACCUCAUAGAGUCGUAAGCCUUCUCAUAAUUCACCUUGAAAAACACACAACUUUUCUUAUUCCUCUUCAUCUCUUCUAAAACUUCAUUGGCUACCAGAAUACUAUCCAAUAGCCCCCUUCCUUCAAGAAAAGCGGAUUGCCUAACGUUGAUAACUUUACUGAUCACUUUUUUCAACCUAAUAGCCAAAAUCUUCGAAACCAUUUUAUACACACACCCUACCAGCGAAAUCAGUCUAUAAUCGCUAAGUUGUUGUGAAUUAUCUGUCUUAGGAAUCAAACAGAUGAACAAAGCAUUUGAUCCACUAGGCCACUUACCCUUGACCAUAAAAUCAUUUACCACCAAGACAAAAUCUUCCUUAAGACAGCCCCAACAAUACUUAAUGAAACCGAAGUUGAAUCCUUCUGGACCAGAGCUCUUUGAACUAUCACAACUCCAAACAAUGUUCUUAAUUUCCUCUUCAGACACUACUCCAAUUAGUGACACAUUAUCUUUGUUUGAUAACGAUGUGAACCGAACAUUGUCCAGCCUAAUUACUAGCUCGGACUCCCCGACAAAUCUAGCUUCGAAAAACUCUUUGACCUUAGUCUUUACCACCUCCUUCUCUUCACAACAUUGACCGUUCACUUCUACCUCGUUUACCCAUUUCUCAUUCUCCUCCACUUCACAUAUGAAUGGAAAAAUCUUGUGUUUAAGUCACCUUGUUUCAACCAUUUUUUCCUUGCUUUUUGUUGCACGACCGCUUCUUGUUUGAAUAAGUUCUGACUUUGUUCAGCCAACAAGAGUCUCCUCUCCUCCCGCCCAAACUCAUCUAAUACGCUUUCAUCGUUUCUUGUAUCCAACUCUUGAAUUUUCUUUUGUAGUUCAUCCCCUUCUUGAUUGACGUUCCCAAAAACCUCUUUAUUCCACUUCUUCAAAUCUAGUUUUAACUUUUUCAAUAUCUUUUUUAGUACAAACAUCCCUCCGCCCAACACUUAAUUAUUCUGCCAUUUACUCCGAACAAAAUCUAAAAACCUUCUGCCACUUUGCCACACGUCUAGACUUCUGAAAGGUUUCAGCCCUCAAUCUACCGACACCGUUUUGAGCACUAGAGCACAAUGGUCAGAGACCGAUAUGCUGACAACUAGUUAUUUACUAUUUGGCCAUACAUCCAGCCAUUCCCUGGAAACAAGAAUCAUGUCAAUUUUGCUCUUAACCGUCCCAUUCGGCUUGUACCAAGUGAACUUUCUUCCGACCGUCAGAAUAUCCAACAACUCUGUGUUUUCGAUGAAACCAUUGAACCCCCUGGUCUCCCUACUAUAAUCUGAAACUGAAACUACGCUUUUUCUUUCCUCCUUUCUUCUAAUUGAAUUAAAGUCCCAAACAACACACCACACCCUGUUUUGUUGAAUCUUCCUGAGUUCACUAACCUCAUCCCAUACCUCCUUCCUUUCUUUGAACGAAUCAGAAUUGUACACAUUCACUAUCGUAAUUUGUAUCCCAGCUCCUACUUUCCAAACUCCUUCGACGAUUGAAUAAGAUUUCCCGUUAAAGUAGUUCGUCAUAUUAAAACUACUUCUUGUCCACAUAAUAAUAAUUCCUUCUUCAUUAUUAACUGCCUCGUUCUCCAUCCAUUCAAUUUCAUUUGAGCCCCACAAAAAAAUAGCAAUUUUCCUUACUAAUCUUUGCGCACUUUGUCUCCUGUAGACAGACCAUUCCAACCUCCUCUUUUCUAAUAAAGUCUUUUAAGUAAGUUCUUUUCGUACUUCCUCUUAUCCCCCCUUAUGUUCAUGCUAAUUAGACUCAUCAUCUGAAACACUAUUCUCCUUCUGAACACUCAUGUAAUCCUGAAUCUCCAAACUGCGAAGUCUGUUUAAGACAACCUCUUCUUCUCUUAAGAGAGUGAAUCUCAUCUCCUUACCGGAACUCCACUUCCUUCUCGCUUCUCCGUUUUCAUCUUUUAACCAAAGCAUUCUACUAUAGUGACUAACAUCACUUUCUGAAAUUAUAAUUUCUGGCCUUAAUCCCUUUAACGAAUCUGAUUUAGAUAACAUUUCGUCCAAGGGACCAAUUACAUCACUCAAAUAAGACAUAUUUCCCACCCCUCCUCCGAAACUAGCCAUCAUCCUCCCCACUGGACAACUUGCGGCAAGAGGUCCUGACUCUCUCACCUUAACUGAUGGAGAUCAAGCUCAAGUGGACAUGGAGGCCAAUCAUCAAGAGCAAGAAGAGGUUGAGGCUCAAAUGGAGGAUGCUCAUGGAGUUCAAAGCCCACCUCAAAGGCUUACAAGGAGCAUGUUCAAGGCUUUAGGAGCUAAUGGACGUUUGUUUUCUCUUUUUGUAAUUUCUUUGUUUGAAGGUGCUUAGAGGGAAACAUAAGAAACCUCUUUUGUCAAAGCAUCUUUAGGUCUUUAGUUUAGGAGUCUUAGGGGGGUGUGCGUUUAGUAGAGAGGUGUAGAAGUAAUAGGGAGGUGCCAAAGUGAGAGAGGAAGUCACACCUUCCUCAUGCUUGGCGCCACUUUCAUGUAAUUUGGGGGGAAUUUUGAAUUUAAUUAGCUUUGCAUUUCAGCACCUCUAGGCUAUAAAUAAAGGUGCAUAGCUUGUACAAUUCAGAUUUGAAUUUUGAAUUAGAGAAACUCUACUCAAUUUGAGAGAGAAUUGGAGUGCUUUGUGCCUUCCUCACUUAGUCUUAUCUUGAGAGUUCUUUGGUUACCUCAAGUGGCGGCAUAGCACACUCAUCUUGGAUUCUCCAUCCUCUAAGUGGCGUGAUCAUCCAACCAUUCCUCCAUCUUCAUGAGUUUUCUCUUCUCCUUCCUUCCUUCUCUUUUUAUGUUUAUGUCUUAGCUUGUUUCCUUUGCUUUUUCAGUUCGGUUUCCUAGUGUUCUUGUUGUUUUGCUUCGGUUCCUUUUUCUUUUUGCUGUCCUCAUUGUUUCUUCUUCAUUUCUAGCUUAUUUGUUCAGUGCAAUUCUGUUCUUAUGCAUUUUGUUCGGUGCUUUUGCCUUUUCAUUCAAAUUGUUCGGUUCAAUUUGAUAAUACAUGGAACUUCCAUAUGAGUUUGGGUUUUGGUACUAGUCUUGGUGAGUUCUUGAUCAUAGAACCUUGAUCCAAUUCUAUCAUAAAGUGUCUAUCUCAUAUCCAACUCAAGAUGAUUCCUAAGAAUGUCAAGAAUCAUUCAUAUUGUGCUAUUGGAAUCACAUCAUUAACCCUGAGCGUAGACAACAUUGCUACUUCGACGUCGAAGCCCUCGACCUCUCUGUUAUGUACUAACCCCACCAAAUUCGUCUUUUCCGCAAUGAUUGUCGUCUUGUCGUCUAACUCACUCCUAACUUACUCGUUUCUUGCUUCGACAAACCUCCGCACCUCUCCCUUUCCUUCUCCAAGCACCGUUGUCCCAGCCGCCAAACACCUGCCACUCUCUUUCUCAUUGACGUAGCCUUGGAAUCAUAAGGUUAGAAAAUUCAUCAUAAGGAAGAAUAAAAUGGAAAAGUAAGGCUGAUUUAGGAAAGCUUAUCUAGGAAAUGAAGAUUAGUGUUGGUUUAGUAUGUAAGUUGGUUUUGAUGCAUAAUUUUAUUUUUGUAAGGAAGUGAUGACUAUUCUUGUAAAACUUAGGUCCACAUUUGUUAUAGGUUUUGUUUUACCUUGAUUUUAAAUAUUUUGUUACUUGUAUAAAGAUUAAGAUACCCUAAAAAUAUUCUUUUUAAUUCAUUUAUUUUUUGUUAAAAAAUAUAAAAAAAAACUCACAUACGACUUUUAUAUAUAUAUAUAUAAACAGUUCAUAUAGAUGUAACCAAGUUUUAUAUAUAUAUAUAUAUUAUAUAUAUAUAUAUUUUGAUUGCAUCUAUAUAAACUGUUUUUAUCAAAAAAUUAAGGAAAUUAUAAUAGAACUGGAUAUUCUCACUACAUGAAUUAAAAAUGACAAACAUUACACAAGCAAGGGAUGUUCCUAUAAAAUAAAAAUAUAUUUUUGUAAUUUUAAUUACUUUGUACACUCUUUUCUUUAAAAACAUUUAAGAAAAUUAUUUUAGUUAAAUUAAUAAUGGUUUUUGUUCGAUUAAUUGCUUAGUAUAUUGUGUCUUGUCGCAGUAAUUAUCAGGGAUAUAUUAUGUUGAUUUAUGAUUGAAUUUAAGUUUAUUAGAGAAUUGAAAACUAUUGUGAUGUCGCACAUGUAACUUACGAAAAAUUACCAACAAUAUUAAUAUAAACAACUAACACACAAAUGUUACCGACAAACAAAAUAACACAUUGAAACAACAACAAUAACAAAUAUUUUUUUUUAAAAAAUUACUAAAUUUAAGAAUUUCGAAUCGACAUGAUUAAAUAUCAUUAAAUGAUCAAUUAGUCUUAUAUGGCAGUGUUGUUGUCAUAAUAUAACAACAAAUAACUCGAUAAUAUUAAACAAAUAUUAACAAUGUGAAAAAUAUCAUUAGAAAUUUAUUAAAAUACAUAAAAUAAAGUAAAGAAGUAUACUAUCAUGUAAUAAAAUACAUACAAUUUUAAAAAUAUAUUAUGUAUAGAGAUGGUGGAAGAAUGAUUAAAUAUAUUUAUUAAUUUAAAAUGAAUGUCUAUACAGAAACAUAGACAUAUAAGUACAAAAUUAAGGGGGAAAAGUGAAUUUGAAAUAAGAUGCGACAAUCACUUAACAGGGAUAUUGACUAUAACCACUACUCGUCCAUUGUUUCUUCCAAUUAAGUUUUAAAUUAAAUGCCAUCUUUAUCCGAAAGUAGCUUGAUUCCGCUGGAGUUCACAUGAAUUAGUACCCUAACAUACACACCAUAUUGCACAUCACAAUGACUGAAACCUACCCAUUGGCCAAUAAAAAGAUACUUUAUCGGACAAGUCAGUCACCACUUUUUAGUAACCGAUCGUGCAAGUAAAAAAAAAAAUAGAAAAUAUAAUAAAUAAUAACAGUUAUAAAUAGCGUGGAACGAGUCCAACUAAAAUAUGCGAGAAUAACUGAUUAAUCGAAAGAUACUUGUUCUUAUUAUCAAGGAACUAUAUAUAUGCAUAUCAGUUAAUAAAUAUAAUCCUAUGUAAAUAAAUGAAUAUGGUACGUUUUUCUCAUUUUUAACUAGAACACAUUCAAAGUGUUGGAAUACCUUUUGCAGGUAAUCCCCCAAUCGAUCGAAUAUCAACAUUUAAAAAAUGAGUCUUAAAGUAAUUAGGAGAUCACUGACACGCCAACAAUUAUACAACCAGUCAAAAGUACUAUUUGAACCCCUCAACCUAUAUAGGUAUAUAUAUAUAUAUAUAAAUAGUAAAAAAAAAAUUGUAACUUUUUCUUUAUGAUAAACAUAAUACAUUUUAGAUUCUAAAUAUAAAUAUGUGUUCUAAGCCAUAUUUAUAAAGUUUGACAUCAAAUAAAUUUAAAAGUAGUUUGAUCCAAUUUAAACAGAGUAAUUCUCAUUUUUGUAUAUCUAAAUUGUGGAUGAGAUUUAAAAUAUAAAAGCAUAGAACCAUAGACGCCCUUAUAAGUGAAUUAGUGAAAAACGAACAGUUUUAUCCAUAACAGUAGAAGCCUGGCACUGUCCCUGUCAUUUUGGAAAAAAACGUUUAAGGUACAUAGAAAUGGUUGAAUCCACAGUAUAGCAUCUAUUUUGAAUGUUCAGGUUUGGAGACUAAGGAAGUUGGAAGGAAAUUAAACCUCAUUCCUAUCACUCUUAGUUAGGACAGUGUAUACCUACUUUCCCUUGUCUCUUUCAUUUUCUUUCCUACAAUUAUUUUUCGACUCAUAUAGAAACUUGCCCAUAGAUUCUACACGGAUAAUAAAUAAAUUAAAAAGUUAUGAUAUAUUGAUAAUCUUCGAUCGAAUUAUGAUUUAAAAAAAAUGUUAAAUUAGUAUAUAAUCAAGAUUUUAAUUAUCAAAUUUAGAAUUUAGAUUAAUUGAUAACUAAUUAAAUACCAAUUUAAAAUUUAUUUUAUUAAUUUUAUUAAUAAUAGAAAAAAAUUAUAAUUAAUAAUUUUUUAGUCACAAAAUUGUAUCUAAUAUAAUAAUUAACUAUUUUUGUUUUUAAAAUUAGAUUUCUUUAAUGAUUGUCUUUUGGGGAAGGAAUGACAUUAUAAGUGAAUACAAGGAGUGACAUUACAAGUGAAUACAAUGGAAUAAAAUAUCUUUAUGAAAUUAUUUAAUUUAAAGGAUAAAAUUUAAAUUAUAAAAAAAAUUAACUGUGUACUUAAUUUUAUAUAUUUUUUAUUAUAUAAAAUUAAAAAAUAUAUUUUUUAAAAGCUCUCAUGUUAGGUAUUACUAUGAAACUUGACAUUUCAACUAGGCUAACAUCUCAAGUAACAACUAUCAUCUAUUAGCACAUAAAAAAAUAUUAUUAAAAGAAAAAAGAAAGGAAAUACAAAAAAAUAUAGGGAGACUAUAUAGGUGAUCUAUACAUAUUAAUAAAGAACUCUAAGAUGGAGAUGAGGGAAAGAGGGCAACGCAGAGGCCGAUUGGGUCGGCAUGAAGACGAACGGGUUACAUCUUUUUUCUUUUCGAACUUCCCUACCGGAGUUGGAGAGGUAGAAAUGUUCAAGGUGUUCCAAAAAUGGGCUCGCGUGAAGGAUGUCUUCAUCUCCCGAAGAUUAAAUAAAUGGGGAAGGAGAUUCAGUUUUGUGCGGUUCUUCGGAGUGAGAGAUGCGGGACGUUUGGAAAGAGAGUUGGACCAGUUAUAUGUAGGGAAUAAGAAGCUCUUUGUGCACAUCCCAAAGUAUCAGAGGAAGAUGGAGGAACAAAGUAGGUUAGAGGGGGGGCUUCGAACGACCCCUUUAAGGGCGCGGCGGAACGAAGAUAGCCCUGACCUUAAGAAAAUCACGGUGGCAGGGGGAGAACAGAGAAGGAAGGACAUAUGGGUGGAGAAGAAAGGAAAUAGGUUUUAUGCAGAAGUUGCUACUGGUACAAAUACAGAUCAAUGGAAGGGGGUAAGCUUUAAAACACAACAAUGUGUAUUAUCGUGGAUGACUGAGAGUGCGGUGGGGAAACUUAGGGGUGGUAAGAACGUUGAUCAGCUGGUGGAGGAGUUGGAGUCAGGGGGCAUGAGCACGUUGCGUGUAAGAGCUCUAGGGGACAAUUUUAUUCUACUAACACCAAGAGAAGGGGAGAAAAUGGAGAAUUUCAUAAAGGUCAAUAAUGAGUGGGUUGACUCUAUGUUUGAAAGCUUUAAGCCUUGGUCAGCCUCCAGUGGCCCAAGUCAUAAAUCAGUUUGGGUGAGGUGUUACGGACUACCGCUCCCUCUGUGGAAUGAAGAGUGCUUUACCAAGUUGAUUGGAACUCUAGCUCCGUCGGCUAUGCUGGUAGGCAUUGACAGUUAUACGAAGUCUUGGGAGAAUCUGGAAUUUGCGAGAUUACAAGUCCGGAUCCUGAAGUGUGAGAGGGCUAGGAUGGCAGAAUGUGUGAGGAUCAACAAUCAGUUGUGCAAUAUCCUCAUUGAAGAGGAGACUCCAGGUUGGGUUGGUGACAGUGGUAAGAAUGUAACUUCGUCAUCUGUGUCGUCGGAGAGUGUAUCGUCCUCAAAAACCUACAUAGAAGAAACAAUUUUCAUGGGGAUGAGCGGUGAGGAUGAAAAUAGGUUAUGGAGGGGCGAGGAGCAUCUGUCAAAGUGCGAACGGGAAGGAAAAAAGGCGAUGGAAGAAGAUGAUGAACAGUAUCCGAAUGAGACAAAACGGCUAUUUGUGGGCUCCCCUUCAAAUAUAAGAGGUUGUCAGUGGAAAGGGGGGAAAACCUUAAUGAAAUGGGCAGAAAGGAUGUGCUGAUGUUGAUUUGAUAUCUUUCUCUGAUGAGGACUGUGGGGUAGUUGGGUACGGCAAACCAAUACAAGCUGAGUUGGCAAAAUUGGUGAUAGAGCUGGAAUGUGGAAAUUGUUCACUAGGUACAUGUGGGCCAACGAACCUUGAAAGGAAGAAAGAGGCCCAUUUCGUAGGGGGCUGGGACGCACACUUAGCCCAGUCGGAAGCGGGAGAUGACGUUGAUGGAAAGAAAGUAGAUAAAGGGGAGUGUGGUUUAAAGGAUGCUACACUAACUAGCUUGGUGGAUCGUGUAGGCCUGUUAGGGGACCCAGGGGCGGCCCACGGUGAAGUAAAACGUUGGGCCCUCAUACACGAACCAAUAGAAAUAAGUCGUGUGCAGGACAAUGGGUCUUGCUCUAAGAAGGAGGAAAGCAUGGAGGAACAAGAUGGGUCUCGAAGAGUAACGGCGAGAGCACCAUCAGAGCCACUUUCUGGGAUGGAGAGAGAAGUUUAGCACUGCAAGCCAAACUCACCGCAACGGCUGAGUAAGAAAAGAGAACCUGGUGGUGUGGGGGAAUCACGAUCAUACCCGAGGCAAUCGGCAAGAAUCAGUGAAAGACGCUCCCAGGCGAGUACCUAUCCUUGUAAUAGAGUUGGGUUAUCUAUAGCCUCAAUUUCGGAUAGAGAUAUUAGGAACUGCAAUUCUCUCAUGGUAGCCCGUAGUAACAUAGUGGAAUCACCGGAGCUGUGGGCAAUUGGAAAGAAAAUUGGGUUGGGGUGUCGAGAAGACGAACAGGAGGUCAUUAAUGUUUAUGAUGGUAUGGAAGUACGAGAUUCGGAGAUGAUGCCUGGGCAUAAAGAAGGGAAUGAGAAUAGUGUCUUAUGAUUAUUGUGACCUUCAAUAUAAGAGGAGUGGGGGGAGGUACUAAGUCUAGGUACCUGAGACAUAUUAUAUCGUGUGAGGGAGUUGACUUUGUGUGUUUGCAAGAAACAAAAGUGAAGUCUAUAUCUGAUGCUAAAUGUUACUCUUUGUGAGGGGAUAAUAAAGUGGGUUGGUUACACUAUGAAGGGGAGAAUGGAGGGGGAGGAAUGUUAUCUAUGUGGCAUCAAGAAGCCUUUAUAUAUGAAACUCAUCGUAUGGGAAACGGGUACAUUGCGGUAUAUGGCAGGCUCGUUAAAGAUAACCUGAGAUGUGUUGUGGUUAAUGUCUAUGCUGCCUGUAACUUGAGAAAUAAGAAGACCCUGUGGAUGGAGCUAUCGAAUAUUAAGUCUAGCUCACAUGAGGUGUUAUGGUGUUUCUGUGGUGAUUUUAAUGUGAUCAGAAGUCGUGAUGAAAGGAGAGGUAGUACGAAUAGAGCGGAUUAUACAAGUGAGAUUAGAGGUUUUAAUAACUUUAUUAAUGAUAAUCUGUUGCUGGACACUCCUAUUGUGGGGAAAAAAUAUACUUGGUUCAACUCUAAUGGGUUGGCAAAGAGCAGAAUAGAUAGGGUGUUGGUUACGGAGGAAUGGAUGGAAAAGUGGCCUAUGUGCAAACAGUACGUACAACAAAGGGAAGUCUCUGAUCAUUGUGCCAUAGUGGUGAAAUCAGUGGUAAGAGAUUGGGGACCUAAACCCUUCCGAACAAUCGAUGCGUGGUUGUCAGAAAAAGGUUUUGGCGAGAUGGUGGAGACGAAGUGGAACUCCUAUCUAAGUAGGGGGAGCGGGUUUAUAAAGAUUAAAGAAAAGUUGAAGUGUUUGAAAAGGGAUCUAAAACUAUGGAACAAGGAGGUGUUCGGGAACUUGAAUACAAGUAAGAAGAGGAUUCUGCAAGAGAUUGAGGACAUCAACUGUCAAGAUUGUAGUGGGAUUAUGACGGAAGAAGCCAGGUUUAAAAGGUGUGAGUUGUUAAGCCGUCUCAAGGAAGUUGAUAGAAAGUUUGACUCACUUACGUGCCAAAAAGCGAGAGCAAGCUGGCUCAAGAAUGGGGACUCUUGCACAAAGUUCUACCAUUCGACCCUUAGAUGGAGGAGUCUAAGAAAUGCAGUGAAGGGUGUGGAGAUUGGAGACCAGUGGUGUGAGGAACCUAGUACGGUGCGAAGAGAAGCGAAGUUGCUUUUUGAGAAGAGAUUUACAGCAACGAAGGAUUUGGUUGUAAGACUGGAUGCAGUUGAUUUUAAAACCCUUAGUGGUGAGGAGAACCAAGGUCUUAUAGCUGGGUUUACUGAGAAGGAAAUUAGAGAUGUCGUAUGGCAAUGUGAAGGCGCAAAGAGUCUAGGACUAGAUGGUUUCAAUUUUAAUUUCCUGAAGAAGUGCUGGGAAGUCUUAAAAGUGGAGAUUGUAGAAGCGGUGGAGCAGUUCUAUGAAAAUGGGACUAUCCCAAAAGGAUGUAAUGCCUCUUUUGUUGCUUUGGUACCCAAGGUCAGGGACCCUUCCAGGCUCGAACAAUACAGACCUAUAUCGUUAGUAGGUGCGGUAUACAAAAUUAUUGCUAAGCUGCUGGCGGAAAGGCUAAAGAAAGUCCUACCCUCUGUUGUGGAUGAAAGCCAAUCAACGUUCCUGAAGGAUAGAGGAAUCCUUGACAGUGUGUUAAUGGCUAAUGAGGUAGUUGAAGACAUAAGGAGAAGAGGGAGAAGUGGGUUGUGUCUAAAGGUAGAUUUCGAAAAAGCAUACGACUCUGUCAGAUGGGAGUUCCUAUAUGACAUGCUACAAAGGAUGGGGUUUCAUCACAGAUGGAUCAUGUGGAUCUGAGGGUGCUUGGAAAGUGCUUCUAUAUCAGUUCUUGUUAAUGGGAGUCCUACGGAGGAAUUUAAACCCUCUAGAGGGCUUAGGCAGGGUGAUCCCUUGGCACCAUUCCUUUUUCUUGUUGUAGCUGAAGGCUUGGCUGGGUUAGUAAGGCAGGCUGUGAAGACAAACAUGUUGCAUGGUCUUAAGAUCGGAAGAAAAGAGGUUGAUGUGUGCCUCCUACAGUAUGCAGACGAUACCUUGUUCCUCUGUCAAAACUCGUUUACCAAUGUGGUGACUUUGAAGGCUAUUCUAAGGGGUUUUGAGAUAGCCUCAGGGCUGAAGAUUAAUUUCCAUAAAUCAAAGCUAGUAAGCUUUAAUGUCCUUAGUAGUGAUAUUGACUGUUACACAAAGCCAAUCUUCUAUCAUCACCAUUCACCAGCCAUUAACGCUUUUCCUUAUCUCUCUCUUCUCUCUCUAUCCUAAGGCCAAACGCAACAUCUUCACUCACCAUUUCCUUCUUCACCCUGCUCCUCACCAAUGGCUUCCCUCACUCUCCCUAACCACUAUCUUCCCACCUUGCUUCGCUCUCACUCCCCCAACUACCCAUCUUCCCAAAAUCUCUCACUCUCUUCCACGCCAUCAAAUUCUCAAUUUUUCGGUCUCAAGUUGUCUCAUUCUCCCUCUUCCUCAAUCCCCUCUUAUUCUUUCCUCAGAACCUCCAUUUUCGCCAAGGUACAUUUCACUCUUCAUCAGCUUUUUGCAUGUUGGUAACUUAACUUAAUAGUUGUUUU